GUGAAUCAUCGAAUCUUUGAACGCACAUUGCGCCCCCUGGUAUUCCGGGGGGCAUGCCUGUCCGAGCGUCAUUGCUGCCCUCAAGCACGGCUUGUGUGUUGGGCCCCCGCCCCCCGGCUCCCGGGGGGCGGGCCCGAAAGGCAGCGGCGGCACCGCGUCCGGUCCUCGAGCGUAUGGGGCUUUGUCACCCGCUCGUGUAGGCCCGGCCGGCGCCAGCCGACACCCAUCAAUCUUACCCAGGUUGACCUCGGAUCAGGUAGGGAUACCCGCUGAACUUAAGCAUAUCAAUAAGCGGAGGA
rnacentral:misc_RNA from 1 species